rnacentral:tRNA from 1 species
AGGGAUAUAGCUCAGUGGAGAGCACUUGCCUAGCAGGUAGGAUACAAGCCCCUGGGUUCAAUCCCCAGUACAGUUA